rnacentral:rRNA from 1 species
UACGUAGGAGGCGAGCGUUGUCCGGAAUUAUUGGGCGUAAAGAGCUCGUAGGCGGCCUGUUGCGUCCGCUGUGAAAGCCCGGGGCUUAACCCCGGGUCUGCAGUGGAUACGGGCAGGCUAGAGGUAGGUAGGGGAGAAUGGAAUUCCCGGUGUAGCGGUGAAAUGCGCAGAUAUCGGGAGGAACACCGGUGGCGAAGGCGGUUCUCUAGUACGGUACUGACGCUGAGACGCGAAAGCGUGGGGAGCGAACAGG